UACAGAGGCCUCGAGCGUUAUCCGGAAUUAUUGGGCGUAAAGGGUGUGUAGGUGGUCAUGUUAGUCUCCUGUAAAAUUCUUCGGCUUAACCGGGGGCGCGCGGGAGAAACGGCACGACUAGAGUGUGCAAGGGGUUUGCGGAACUCAUGGAGUAGGGGUGAAAUCCGUUGAUAUCAUGGGGAACACCAAAAGCGAAGGCAGCAAACUGGUGCAUCACUGACACUGAAACACGAAAGCGUGGGUAGCGAAUGGG
rnacentral:rRNA from 1 species